rnacentral:rRNA from 1 species
AUUUGAAAUCUGGCGCAAGCCCGAGUUGUAAUUUGUAGAGGAUGCUUCUGGGUAGCGGCCGGUCUAAGUUCCUUGGAACAGGACGUCAUAGAGGGUGAGAAUCCCGUAUGUGACUGGAUUGCACCCUCCACGUAGCUCCUUCGACGAGUCGAGUUGUUUGGGAGUGCAGCUCUAAAUGGGAGGUUAAUUUCUUCUAAAGCUAAAUACCGGCCAGAGACCGAUAGCGCACAAGUAGAGUGAUCGAAAGAUGAAAAGCACUUUGGAAAGAGAGUUAAAAAGCACGUGAAAUUGUUGAAAGGGAAGCGCCCGCAACCAGACUUUGCGGCAGGGUUCGGCCGGUCUUCUGACCGGUUUACUCGCUGUCGGGAGGCCAUCAUCGUCUGGGACCGCUGGAUAAGACCUUGAGGAAUGUGGCUCGCCCUCGGGGAGUGUUAUAGCCUCUGGAGAUGCCGCUCGUCUCGAUACGAGGUCCGCGCUUCGCGAAGUGCACGUCAGAACUGCUUGUCGCCUCCCCCGUCUUGAACCUCUGACUUCAGGAGUCUAACAUCAUAUGCGAGUGUUCUUGGUGUCAAACCCCAGCUAUGCACUGUACUCAAAUCGGAUGCUGAGGAACAUUUUUGUGCACCAUCGACCGCACAAAAAUGUCCCCGCAUGGAUCUGAUUCAGAACAUGUAUGUUGUUGACCCCAAAGACGGUCAACUAUGUGUGAAAAUGCGUUAGUCCGGGGGUAAACGCCUGGGGCGGGGGUCGCAGCUGUUUCUGAUCGUGCAAUGCCGAUCGCGCAAAUCUUGGGCAUGAGGAGGCGAAAGCACUCAAUCAGAAGCAUACUACAAUCCGCGUACGUGGCCGCAGAUUUCCCUUCAGUAUAGUCAGUGACGGUCUCUCGAGCUUAUUGAUG